ensembl:lncRNA
GUUUCCUUUUUGUAAAACUGUAUUUUCUUAGUGAUAUAAAAUUCCUUGCUGUCAAAGUAAAAUAGCCCAGUAGGUCUUUCAGAGUAGUUUUAUCUCAUUUUAAUGCUAAAUUCUUCAUGUAGCGCUCUCUGGAAGCUAUGGUACAUUUCUGCAAUAGCAGAGCAAGUAAACAUAUCACUGCCAAGUUCCCACACCCCUAAAAGCAGAUUCUAUCUCCCUCUCUUUCCUCUAGCAAACUUAUAACACUUGACAGUAAUGAGAAGAUUCCUUAGCGUCUCCUGGACCGUGAGGAACCCCAGAGGAACGCUGGUCAACCUUCAACCUCAACUCGCAGUGAUCAACCACUCAAUAAUUGUAUUUUUGUGGAUUGUGCCUUGUCAGAAUUAUCAAAGCAUGAAGGUGGUGGUGGGCCAUUCAGAUGAGGAAGAGAGAGAGAAGGGGCGUCACAAAAAAUCAGAAAACAACUGCACAGCCCACACGGUGGAUCAUGACAGCAGUCAAGUGAAUAACUCAACAAGGGGAAGCUUUGCAGAAUAUUGAUUUAAUGCUGCAUUCAUGCAGGGAGGAUGUUCACCCGCAUUACGCACGCUCUAAUAUUCCCCAGCAUACCUUGGGCCUUUGGUUUUCUGAGCCACUCGGAGAUAAAAGAGACUGGAAUAUUCCUCUCGCAUGAGCAUUUAAGCACAAUUCAGUGUCUCCGAAUCGAAGCAUGAACUGAAUCGAUCAAAAUCCAAAGAAACGUGUCUCCUAUGGUGGAACGCCAGUGAUUAGCGCUCAUUUUGUGGAAAAUAGGGUGUAACUGAGUAAACAAGAUGGCUUUAUGAAGCAUCCCAAUGAAUUUUGGGGCAGGACUGUGUUUAAUGGCAUGUGGGACAUUUAUUCAAUUAAAAUAACUCAGGGAGUGAAGGAUAUAUGUGAAUGGAAGUGGCUCACAGGUGCUGAAAUGCACAAACAACCAGGUAUCUCUAAGAAGAAUGUGUCAGUCUUGAGAAUAAAGGAACAGUGAAUAUUAUUUCA